AAGCAGAAGACGGCAUACGAGAUCUAGUACGGUCUCGUGGGCUCGGAGAUGUGUAUAAGAGACAGGUGCUGAUGUGCAAAUCGCUUGGAUGAUCUGGGCAUAGGGGUGAAAGGCCAAUCUAGACCGGCAAUAGCUGGUUCCUCUCGAAACUACUCGCAGGUAGACCUCGGUGGAGAUGGAUUGUGUGGUAGAGCACUGAUUGUGGGGUUAGGGGGCGAAAGCCCUCGCCCUGCUGUCAAACUCCGAACGCGCAAUCAUUGUAGAAGCCGGGAGUGAGGGCACCGGGGUAAGCUUGGUGUCCGCAAGGGAAAGAACCCAGCCCGAAGUUAAGGUCCCUAAGUGCUGACUAAGUGUAACCAAAAGGGCGUCCGCGGUCUAAAACAACUGGGAGAUGGGCUUAGAGGCAGCCAUUCUUUAAAGAGUUCGUAACAGAUCACCAGUCGAGAUUGCGGGCCCCGAAAAUGGACGGGGCUAAGUCGGCCACCGAUACUUCGGAGUACCCAAGGGUAAUCUGGUAGAGAGGUGUCGUGCGUGGGUGGAAGCAGGGCUGUGAAGUCCUGUGGACCGCGUUCGAAUAAGGAUCCUGGUAGGAGUAGCAGCAAAGAAGGUGUGAGAAUCCCUUCCGCCGCAGGGGCUAGGGUUCCUUGACAAUGUUCAUCAGUCAAGGGUUAGUCGAUCCUAAGACUGUCCUUAACCGAGGCAGUCGAAAGGGAAGCAGGUUAAUAUUCCUGCACCAGUCGCGUCUCUGUUCCGUGCUUGACGCAUCGGGAUAGGCUUUUUCUGGCGUUGCCUGCCGAUUCAGAGGUAUAAACCGGUGGAGAACCGUAAUGGUGAGAACCCGGUAAAAUCCGAUGGGGCGGACGAAAUGUCUGCUUAGGCCAAUUCCUGGUGCCCGUGAAAAUUGCACGGAAGCCAACGAGAUUGUUCGUACCGAGAACCGACACAGGUGCCCCUAGGUGAGUAGCCUAAGGCGUGUCAGCGUAAUCCAGGCGAGGGAACUCGGCAAAUUAGCCCCGUAACUUCGGGAGAAGGGGUGCCAGCCUAGGUAUAGGCUGGUCGCAGUGACUAGGGGGCUCCGACUGUUUAAUAAAAACAUAGGUGGUAGCUAGUCCGAAAGGAUGUGUAUUACCGCUGAAUCCUGCCCAGUGGCGGUAUCUGAAACUCCGGUUCAACGGAACGAAGGACCGCUAAACGGCGGGGGUAACUAUGACCCUCUUAAGGUAGCGUAAUACCUUGCCGCUUAAUUGGCGGCUUGCAUGAAGGCCCAACGAGAGCCCUACUGUCCCCGCCUGGAAGCUGGUGAAACUGACUAUACUAGCGCACAGUCUAGUACCUUCCAGCUGAAAGCGAAGACCCCGUGGAGCUUUACUGCAACCUGUCGUUGUAAUAUGACCUUGAUUGUAUAGUGUAGGCGGGAGACGCUACACAGGUGCGGGCGCUAGCUCGUCGCCGAGUCGAAAUUUGUAAUACCGCUCUUUUGAUGUCGUAUUACUCACCUCCUAGGAGGAACACCGAUAGGUGGGCAGUUUGGGUGGGGCGCCACGCCCUCAAAAAGAUAACAAGGGCGCCCAAUGGUCAGCUCAGGUAGGUCAGAAAUCUACCGACGAGUGCAAGGGCAAAAGCUGGCUUGACGUGGAUAGGCCCCACAACUAUCUACGAUGCGAAAGCAGGGCCUAGCGAACCAAUGUACCUCAUUUGUGGGGGUCAUUGAUGUCAGAAAAGUUACCCCGGGGAUAAUUGUGUCGUCUCCAGCAAGAGUUCAUAUCGACCUGGAGGCUUGCUACUUCGAUGUCGGCUCUUCCUAUCCUGGUGGUGAAGAAGCUGCCAAGGGUGGGGUUGUUCGCCCAUUAAAAGGAAUCGUGAGCUGGGUUUAUACCGUCGUGAGACAGGUGUUUUGCUUUUUGUUGGAAGCGCAUUGGUGUCUGAGGGGAAGGAGCCUUUAGUACGAGAGGAACAAGGCGUCGUUGCCUCUAGUCAUCCUGCUGUCCGGCAGGGCAGGCAGGGUAGCCACGCAAUAGACGGAUAAGAGCUGAAAGCAUCUAAGCUCGAAGCCGCCCUCAAGACGAGACACCUAAGGACUCUCAUAAAUGAUGAGUUUGAUAGAGACGGGAUGUAAGUGUCAAGGUUCGCCGAGGCAUUCAGUCCGCGUCAACUAACGUCCGAGCCACAUAU
rnacentral:rRNA from 1 species